CGGGCUGCGCUCCCACCGUCUACCCCGUCUCCCUGCGGUUCGGGUGAAAUCAAGCGCCGUGGCAGCCGACUCGCAAGGUGACAUCAUGGGCUCUUGGCUUUUCUGGUACAAUCAAAUCAUCUUUCAUUGCGUUGCUGCUGCUACCUACCGGACUACAACUUGCUUUUUCUGAUAUCACUACUGAGCCAGUGUCAAUCUCCUGUUGUUUGAAGUCACAUCAUCUUGUGUCACAGAAUCUCAUGUCAAGUUCCAGGGGUCUCAGGCACCUACUGCAAAACAUUCAUCGGGUCCAUCUCCUAACUGUGAAGAAAGAUCACAAUUGUCUUGGUUACACGGUUGCUGCCAGCCCCAGUAUUCUAUCCACUCUUCCAGGAACUUUCAGAGAGAAGCUUGUUACAGUCACCCUAAUAAAACAGCUUGAAUUCCAGAAUAUUAUUUCAAUUUUAAUAUGGAGUCAUAGCAGCUAUGAGACUAUAAGGUAUGUUAAGGCCCUUAGGAAUAGGUAACCAGUAUGGUGUGUGUCUUGAUCACUAUAGGAACCGUUAUGGACUCUGAAUUAAAACAAAGGGUACUGGUUAUGGACCUGGAGUCAAAACAAUAGGUGCCAGAAGAGACUGGUUCUGGUUUGGGAGAUCAGCCAAAGAUGAAAUGAGCAUGAGCAAGGAUGGAGUUCAACCAGCAGACACAGUGAGGAAGACUAUCGAUGAGCACCAGAGCACCCCCGUCCAACAUAGCCACGCAUGCGUUAGGGACAUUUGCAUAUGAUAAUGCCUCCCAGGAAAUAACAUGAAUAUGCUGAUCGUUACCCUCCCCUCUUUGUAUUCAAAUCCAUCAGUAAAGUUGACCAAUGAUUUCUGUAGAAUAGGAAUAGAGGUAAGGUGAGGUAACUGACAGCCAGUCAUUACAGAGGGCAAAUUAAGAAGCGAGCAUUCUAUGCAUUUUAUUGGAUCUUACGUAACCAUGACUCUGCUGAAAAAGCGUAUAAAUAUGUUGUGCUCUGUACCUGCUGGUGAACACGUCCUUGGUGGAGCUCUCCCCCGUGUUCCCCAGCGCUGGAAUAGAGUGCCUGAUUAUCUGCUUUGGGUAGGUAAGUUCUAUUCACGGUUGUGACCGCUAACAAGUUGAGAUCCCAGUAUGAAUUAAGUUAAUUUCAGCAAGCUCUCGAGACUUGCAUACAUCUAAUUUAUUCAAACAUUUUUUUAAUUGUUUUUUCCUUAUU